UCGGUCUGGGAUGGACUCGCGGCCUAUCAGCUAGUUGGUGAGGUAACGGCCCACCAAGGCGACGACGGGUAGCCGGCCUGAGAGGGUGACCGGCCACACUGGGACUGAGACACGGCCCAG
rnacentral:rRNA from 1 species